GCAAGAUUAAAACUCAAAGGAAUAGACGGGGACCCGCACAAGCGGUGGAGCAUGUGGUUUAAUUCGACGAUACGCGAAGAACCUUACCUGGCCUUGACAUAGAUAGAACUUUCCAGAGACGGAUUGGUGCUAGUUUACUAGAGCUAUCAUACAGGUGCUGCACGGCUGUCGUCAGCUCGUGUCGUGAGAUGUUGGGUUAAGUCCCGCAACGAGCGCAACCCUCGUGUUUAGUUACUAACAGUUCGGCUGAGGACUCUAAACAGACUGCCUGGGUAACCAGGAGGAAGGUGAGGACGACGUCAAGUCAUCAUGGCCCUUACGGCCAGGGCUACACACGUGCUACAAUGGGGUAUACAAAGAGCUGCAAUACGGUGACGUGGAGCAAAUCUCAUAAAAUAUCUCCCAGUUCGGAUUGAAGUCUGCAACUCGACUUCAUGAAGUUGGAAUCGCUAGUAAUCGUAGAUCAGCAAUGCUACGGUGAAUACGUUCCCGGGUCUUGUACUCACCGCCCGUCACACCAUGGGAAUUGAAUUCAUUCGAAGCGGGGAUGCUAAAAUAGCUACCUUCCACAGUGGAUUUAGUAACUAGGGUGAAGUCGUAACAAGGUA
rnacentral:rRNA from 1 species